rnacentral:rRNA from 1 species
GCACAAGCGGUGGAUGAUGUGGUUUAAUUCGAUGCAACGCGAAAACCUUACCACCUUUGACAUGUACGAAUCCUUUAGAGAUAGAGGAGUGCUCGAAAGAGAACCGUAACACAGGUGCUGCAUGGCUGUCGUCAGCUCGUGUCGUGAGAUGUUGGGUUAAGUCCCGCAACGAGCGCAACCCUUGUCAUUAGUUGCUACAUUCAGUUGGGCACUCUAAUGAGACUGCCGGUGACAAACCGGAGGAAGGUGGGGAUGACGUCAAGUCCUCAUGGCCCUUAUAGGUGGGGCUACACACGUCAUACAAUGGAUGGUACAAAGGGUCGCCAACCCGCGAGGGGGAGCCAAUCCCAUAAAGCCAUUCGUAGUCCGGAUCGCAGUCUGCAACUCGACUGCGUGAAGUCGGAAUCGCUAGUAAUCGUGGAUCAGAAUGUCACGGUGAAUACGUUCCCGGGUCUU